rnacentral:rRNA from 1 species
GACGAACGCUGGCGGCGUGCUUAGCACAUGCAAGUCGAACGGAAAGGCCCUGCUUUUGUGGGGUGCUCGAGUGGCGAACGGGUGAGUAACACGUGAGUAACCUGCCCUUGACUUUGGGAUAACUUCAGGAAACUGGGGCUAAUACCGGAUAGGAUCUCCUGCUGCAUGGUGGGGGUUGGAAAGUUUCGGCGGUUGGGGAUGGACUCGCGGCUUAUCAGCUUGUUGGUGGGGUAGUGGAUUACCAAGGCUUUGACGGGUAGCCGGCCUGAGAGGGUGACCGGCCACAUUGGGACUGAGAUACGGACCAGAAUCCUACGGGAGGCAGCAGGGGGGAAUAUUGCACAAUGGGCGGAAGCCUGAUGCAGCAACGCCGCGUGCGGGAUAACGGGCUUCGGGUUGUAAACCGCUUUCGCCUGUGACGAAGCGUGAGUGACGGUAAUGGGUAAAGAAGCACCGGCUAACUACGUG